rnacentral:rRNA from 1 species
CCUACGGGAGGCAGCAGUGAGGAAUAUUGGUCAAUGGGCGCGAGCCUGAACCAGCCAAGUCGCGUGAGGGAAGAAGGCCCUACGGGUUGUAAACCUCUUUUGCCGGGGAGCAAAGGGCGCCACGUGUGGCGCCACUGAGAGUACCCGGAGAAAAAGCAUCGGCUAACUCCGUGCCAGCAGCCGCGGUAAUACGGAGGAUGCGAGCGUUAUCCGGAUUUAUGGGGUUUAAAGGGUGCGUAGGCGGCGCGUUAAGUCAGUGGUCAAAUUGAGGGGCUCAACCCCUUCCCGCCAGUGAAACUGGCGCUCUUGAGUGGGAGAGAAGUAUGCGGAAUGCGGGGUGUAGCGGUGAAAUGCAUAGAUAUCGCGCAGAACCCCGAUUGCGAAGGCAGCAUGCCGGCUUCCGACUGACGCUGAAGCACGAAAGCGUGGGGAUCGAACAGGAUUAGAUACCCUAGUAGUC